GAGUUUGAUCCUGGCUCAGAACGAACGCUGGCGGCAGGCUUAACACAUGCAAGUCGAACGAGCUGGGACCUUCGGGUCCCGAUGCUAGUGGCGCACGGGUGAGUAACACGUGGGAAUAUGCCCUUUAGUACGGAAUAACCCAGGGGAAACUUGGGCUAAUACCGUAUACGCCCUUCGGGAAGGAUUAUCGCUAAGGAUAGUCCGCGUCUGAUUAGGUAGUUGGUGAGGUAAUGGCUCACCAAGCCGACGAUCAGUAGCUGGUCUGAGAGGAUGAUCAGCCACACUGGGACGUGAGACACGGCCCACGACUCCUACGGGAGGGCAGC
rnacentral:rRNA from 1 species